rnacentral:rRNA from 1 species
UACGUAGGCAGCGAGCGUUGUUCGGAGUUACUGGGCGUAAAGAGUGUGUAGGCGGUGUCGUAAGUUCGGUGUGAAAUCUCCCGGCUUAACUGGGAGGGUGCGCCGGAAACUGCGAGACUUGAAUCCGGGAGAGGGAUGCGGAAUUCCAGGUGUAGCGGUGAAAUGCGUAGAUAUCUGGAGGAACACCGGUGGCGAAGGCGGCAUCCUGGACCGGCAUUGACGCUGAGGCGCGAAAGCUAGGGGAGCAAACGGG